UCCUUAAGAACCACUGGUUGAAGCCAGAAAUGGGCAGUCUGCAGUGUCCAUUGUAGGUGCUUGGUGAGCAGGAGAUUGCCUUUUUUGCUUUUCUGGAGCAGGACAUUUACAGCAAAGAUCUAAACAUGUUAAAGACUCCAGUGAAAGUUCACAAAGUCACUUCAGGGCACACCUUCGGUGCUGAUGAAGAACUGCUGAGUCAAGUGAAGAAGAGGAUACCACUGACAAUCACAAACUGGCAGGAAAGCUUCAUCAUCAUUGUUUUCUGCCCAGUCACCUCUCUGGUUGGAUCAGAUGUGGAAGCAGCCAUGAGUCUGGUGCCAGCAGAAGAUCAAAAAGUCAUUCUGGUUGUGAUGCACCACGUCCGAGAUGAGAACUACUCCACAGCUGGGACGCAGUGGUCUGAAACGUUUCCUAAUGUCAUCUUGGAUGUUCAUGUUCUCUUCCAUGAGACUGUGCAAGGAUUACUAUCUUGUGCUAAAAAUCGGGAGGCAGUCAAUCAAAUAGCUGAUACAUUAGAUCGACUGUCACAGGAUCAACAGAUAGUCUGAGACAAGGGUUACUAAGAUGCCGUGACGAGCGUUCUGAGCAUUUACCCUAUUGGAAGACUACUGUUGAAAACUGAAAACAUAAAUAAAAAUGGUUAAUUUAUCACAUUGUUGUUGCUGUAAUCCAACUAUUUUCAUGGUCAGCAGAAGAAGGGCUGUUAUGUAACUGAUAAGGAGAAAGAGGGACAGGAUGAAGGGUGAUGAAGAAGUAUCAAGCAUGUAAUAUGAAGUUAGUGAAGUCGUUGGUGUGGAGAUAUCUGAAAAAAAUGUUAAUUGUUUAAUGACUUUGAACUUUUCUGUAAACAGUCUACACUAAGGGCCUGCUUUUCAAAGACUCCAAAUAAUGACCACUAAAUAGCACUGACAAAGAAAACUAUGAGAGUAAUAAGGGAGGGUGUUAUGGAAAACUUGUGGACCCACUUCUCCAGAAUGAUCACACGUCCCAGAAUAACGCACACACAAGCGACAAAAGUGUUGUCAGACCUGCCCUCCCCUCCACCUCCCCCUACCCUCCAGCAACUCCGGUCACAUCACCUGGGUAACAUGUUUUUUUUGUCUCAGUGAUUAACAUCUUUAUAGCCUGAAGGCUGUUCUUAGGAGGAAGUUAAUAUUCAGGGUUGUUUUUUUUUUAUUAUUUACAAGCAUGCCACAAUGUUUAGGAUCAGGUUUGUUACUUCUCUGCCUUGAUGUAAGUGCAUGGAAAUUAAAAUUGGCUCUCUUCCCUGCCCCCACCCACUGUCCCGCAGACACUGCCUCCAAGGCAGCCAUUGAUUUUCCCACAAAUAUUACUCUACUGUUAUUGUAAAGGUUUGCUAACCUCAUAUGUAUUUAUAAAA